GUGUCAGCAGCCGCGGUAAUACAGAGGGUGCGAGCGUUAAUCGGAAUUACUGGGCGUAAAGCGCACGUAGGCGGCUUGGUAUGUCGGGUGUGAAAUCCCCGGGCUCAACCUGGGAACUGCAUCCGAAACUGCCUUGCUCGAGUAUGGGAGAGGGAAGUGGAAUUUCCGGUGUAGCGGUGAAAUGCGUAGAUAUCGGAAGGAACAUCAGUGGCGAAGGCGACUUCCUGGACCAAUACUGACGCUCAGGUGCGAAAGCGUGGGGAGCAAACAGGAUUAGAUACCCCCGUAGUCC
rnacentral:rRNA from 1 species